GCCAGGUGCAGUGGUGGAUACCUGUAAUCCCAGCUGCUCAGGAGGCUGAGGCAGGAGGAUCUUGAGUUCAAGCCAACCUCAGCAAAUGCAAGGUGCUAAGCAACUCAGUGAGACCCUGUCUCUA
rnacentral:sRNA from 1 species